AUGAUCUAAACCAAAUCUGGUGAAAAUAGGACUAGAGGUCUAGGUUUUCAACAUAAAUCAAAAUGGUGGACAGGAAGUUUGAAUGAUUAUGGCAUAACCAGUACCAAUGUUCUUGGCAUAAUACAAGAUAUCUGUAAUGACAAGACUCAUGACAACAGGCAAAAUUCUUAAAAAAAAAUUAGCAUUUUUUGAUAUUUCAUUAAAAUUUUUGACCACAAGGUGGUGCUGCCACAAAAAGUUUUGAGUACCCUCAGGGCAAGGUGCCGAAGACACAUACCAAGUUUUGUAACAAUAUGCCAAUGCAGUCAUAAAAUAUCACUUUUUUUUUUGGUCAAAAUUCUAAAUUCUAGGCCGAUGCCUAAAAAAAAUAAAUAAAUAAAUAAAUAAAUAAAAAUAGUACCAUUCGACUCUGCAUGCUGCUCCAAAUGAUAUUUGGUCAAACCAUUUAUAAGUCAUAAGCAAAAAAUAAAUAAAUAAUAGACAAUAAAAGCCACGUUUCAGGUCUCCUGACCACUAGGUGGCACUGUGCUGAAACUGUGCAGGUAAACAGAUCAUUGUUGUCAUAACACACCAAGUAUGGUCUGAAUAAGCUAAAGUUUUGUGAAGAUAUAGCCUCACAUCCACUUUGGCGUGCUCUUCAACAAAUUUGUUUGCACGUUAUUUUGAAACGUCUAAUCAACUUGAUUUCCAUGUUUUGUUUUGUUUUUUCUUUUUUUGUCAACAUGGCCUGAAAAUCUGACAAAGGGUCUAGGGGGAGUUCGAAAGAGUUUUUAUGAUGGAAAAUAACAUCAUAGGAACUCAUUUGAAUCGGCAUGAGCCAAGGAAUCUGGGGGAAAAAUAAUUUCGUUUCUAGCCCAUAUGGUUAAAAAGUUAUCAGCAUGAAUGUGAGUGCAACUUUGGACAAGUGAUGGCGGUAGAGUUAGAGACUCUAAAUUUGGUUGAUGUAUUUACCAUAUGGUUCUAUGGGCUACCAUAGACUUCCAGAGCAAUAGGUGCCUACCUUCAGUGCUUGGCCACUAAUAAUAAUAGUAAUAAUAAUACCAAUUACUUUUAUAAUGAUGGUGUAAUUUAGAAUAUUUAUAUGGUAUAACAUUUUAAUCGUAAUAAUAUUUAUUAUUAUUAUUAUUAUUAUUAUUAUUAUGCCACUAUAAUGUAAAUAUUGUUUUGGACAGUUAGCUUGCUUCUAACAGUCAUAUUUAUCUUUAUUUCUAAUUUCUCCAGGGCAGAGUGAUUUCUUUUUGCCUGACAGAAUAAAACUGAAUACAGGACAUGCUGAGAUUUUCAAAGAUAAUGUUGAUCUUCAAAUUAAUAUCACAUUAACUGAAGAUUCUAAUGAAGUUGUUGGGUUUGUCCUCUACAAUAAUGACCAGUUCUUCCGGUCAAAAAGCUUUCAACCUUCUCUGGAUACCGAGAGAAAAGUGAUGUCUGCUAAUAUUCAAGAAAAUCUUAAGUUUGAGGUUAUGUUUACAGUCACACCAACGGCCGUUUCCACUUUAUCCCUCAAUGACUUUGCAUGUGUGUUUUGGAGUUACACUAAAAAUGACUGGAGCACAGAAGGCUGCACCAAAAUUACGAGCCCCUCUGGACCUGCAGUUUGCAGAUGUAAACCUGUAAAAAAUAGAAAUGGAAAUGCAAAUGAAAA